CUUUUUAGCUGGGUCCACCAACCUCCGAGAUUUACAAUCUUCACCUGUGGAUUCGGACCCUCUCGGAAGUUUGGUAUAAAGAUUAAAUGAGAUGGUAUGGGUGAAAAAAAUGCCAAGUGUUAUCUCUGGAUGGACUGCAGAUCAAGCGUCUAGAAAUGGCAUAUGACCAUUCACAGAUUAUCUGUGCUGAAAUGAAGCCUGGUUAUUGAUGGGUCUCCCCUUAUCUUAGGCAUGCCUCAUGAAUUUACCCAGCCUAUGCAAAUUGGUACCCACCGUGCCAAACAUCGUACCGCUCUCCCUUGGGUGUGCAUCUUACUGUCGUGUCUUCCUUUGCUUCUUUCUCAGGGGAUCAAGCACUCAAAUACAUCAGUGCAUGGGGCCACUCUCAUCCAAACCAUCACAUGUGGGUACCAGUGUUCUAGGUGAAGAGAUGUGACUUCAUACUGCCCUGUUGAGACUGGGUCAAUGAAUAAAGCAGGACUCUUUGGAGGCCAGUAUUCCAGAGUCACCCUGAUACAACAGCGUUUGUUGUA